rnacentral:rRNA from 1 species
UACGUAGGGGGCAAGCGUUAUCCGGAAUUACUGGGCGUAAAGAGCGCGCAGGCGGUCGUUCAAGUCGAGUGUGAAAGCCCCCGGCUCAACUGGGGAGGGUCACUCGAUACUGAUCGACUCGAAGGCAGGAGAGGGAAGUGGAAUUCCCGGUGUAGUGGUGAAAUGCGUAGAUAUCGGGAGGAACACCAGUGGCGAAGGCGACUUCCUGGCCUGUUCUUGACGCUGAGGCGCGAAAGCUAGGGGAGCAAACGGG